GACGAACGCUGGCGGCGUGCCUAAUACAUGCAAGUAGAACGCUGAAGGAGGAGCUUGCUUCUCUGGAUGAGUUGCGAACGGGUGAGUAACGCGUAGGUAACCUGCCUGGUAGCGGGGGAUAACUAUUGGAAACGAUAGCUAAUACCGCAUAACAGUAGAUGUUGCAUGACAUUUGCUUAAAAGGUGCAAUUGCAUCACUACCAGAUGGACCUGCGUUGUAUUAGCUAGUUGGUGGGGUAACGGCUCACCAAGGCGACGAUACAUAGCCGACCUGAGAGGGUGAUCGGCCACACUGGGACUGAGACACGGCCCAGACUCCUACGGGAGGCAGCAGUAGGGAAUCUUCGGCAAUGGACGGAAGUCUGACCGAGCAACGCCGCGUGAGUGAAGAAGGUUUUCGGAUCGUAAAGCUCUGUUGUAAGAGAAGAACGAGUGUGAGAGUGGAAAGUUCACACUGUGACGGUAUCUUACCAGAAAGGGACGGCUAACUACGUGCCAGCAGCCGCGGUAAUACGUAGGUCCCGAGCGUUGUCCGGAUUUAUUGGGCGUAAAGCGAGCGCAGGCGGUUAGAUAAGUCUGA
rnacentral:rRNA from 1 species